rnacentral:lncRNA from 1 species
GUGGUUUUGAAAUCAUUUCAUCUCUUGAAAAUACUAUAAAACUUUCUCAACAUUUCUUAAAAACCGAGUUGUUUGAAAACAUCGGAAAUGCUGACCCCUUAGGAUAGUACUAAAGAAUCUUAACCCCCGCUCUGAUACCAAUUGUAACAUCCUGAUCCCUCGGCGUCCGACCAGGGUUAUCGAAAGGGAGUUAUGGACACGUGUCUACUCAAUAGACAACCCUACGUGUCCCGUUAUUGGUCCCAAGAGUCGACGAACGCACUUCUUCAAUAAAAAGCCAGCCACCCAUAUCCACGCACUUCUACUUACAGUCCUACGCACAGGGAAAUAGAAAUGGAGGGGAUGAGCAAUUGGGAUUACUCAGUGAAGUGACUCUAGACCAUCCUGCCCGCAUGGAUCUCUAUACUCCUUUAUGCGGGGACCAGGGCUGGCUAGUCACUACAAUCAAUCAAAUGCAUUUGCAACAAUUCAACAUUCAACAUCUUCAAGCGAUCAAGAUUCCACACAUUUCUAUCAACCUAGCGAUCAAGCAAUACAAUGAGCUCAGUCAUUGCCACAUACAUAACUCAACAGACCCGACUGACUCAAAAUUCAAACUGACUCGACUCCACGCAACCUAGACAUAUGAACCUAUGGACGUUUACGGAUGUCCCUACGUGUUCCGGCCUAACCUAGAAGGGGCGCCCUUGAAAGAAACCAUCCCCCUCUAGCUUCCUAGAUAGCUAUCCGAAUCAUAGCACGUUGGCCCACCCGGCACUGUCUACUAUCCGGUCAUAAUAGCUAUAAUUAUGCCACGACACGGCAUUGACUCGAUCUUAAGGCGCCUACAUCCAUCCCGUCCUUUCACGGUCACUGUUCAUCAACGGUCCUUACUCACCUUUUCAUCUACGGGUGCUUCGUGUUAGGCUAAGCCCCGUAGGCCCUGCGGGUACCUCAUGUUAGGCUAAGUCUC